rnacentral:rRNA from 1 species
AUGGUUUUCUCAGGCUGUAUGAAGACAGAAACGGUAGAGGCCGUCGCAAUCAAGGAAGCCCUCUUACUAGCAGAUGACCUGUUUGCCCAGAGAAUCAAGAUCACAUCUGAUUGUCAAAGGGUAAUCAACAUGCUAGCGGAGGGAUCAAAACCUGUCUACUAUCACAUCACACAGGAGAUUCAAGCCAGAGGAGCACGGUUUGAUGGCAUUGAUUUCUGCCAUGAGAAACGCAAUUCAAAUGUUGAAGCCCACAAGCUAGCUCGAUCAUCUCUUCGUAGUAAUAUUGGCCGAUAUAUUUGGCUCUUAGACCCGCCUGAUGGCUUAUGUAUCCCGAGAACUCUUGUUAUCUGA